AUGUGUCCGUGUAUGUGUGUGUACACAUGUGUGCACAUGCCUAUGUCUAUCCUGUGUAUUCGUGUGUGAGAAUGUGCACAUUUGAGUGUGGUGCUCUAGGAGACAGAAGGAGAUAUCAGCAGGUCCCCUAGUGGCGGGCUUACAGGGGUCUGUGGGUGCGGGGAUUUGAGUCCAGGCUGUCUUCAAGAACAGCAAGUCUAUUUAACCUCCGAUUCAUCUCUCCAAUGCACGUGGAAGAUCUCUGAGCCCUCCGCUUGCGGGCGUCUUGCAGACGGAGUUGAAGAGCGUACCUUGGUGAGUACCUAACUCCAGUGCUCAGGACGAGGGACAUCAGAUCUCACUCUGCGCUCUGAACUGGGACUUCCUCAGCUUCAUGGCCUCCUCUCAUUUAUGUCUCUUGAGCCCCAAUGGCCCGGUCUGUGAAAUGGAGAUAAAAAACACGCCUCUCAGGGUGCCGUCAGCACCCCAGAUAAUAGCACACUGCACAUGUAGUGUUCAGUGAUGUGGGGCUGCUCCUCUUAUCUCAGCACACAGACGAGAGACUAACACUAAAAGGACACGUUCCGUCUGGUUAGAGACAAGCCCUCUUCUACCCAGGACAAGACAGAGGAAAGAUGUGAGCGUGAGCUCCAGAGUCAUGGCAGCAGAUGUUGGUGGUAGUAAUUGUGACAGUGCCAAUGUGGGCACAGGUUCCCUUGUGACACUUCAUCUCCCAUCUUCAAUAUGAGGCUCCACACGGACGUCAAGAACACUCCUUCGAUUCCCACCCCGUGACCUUCUGUUCCUCUAGCUUGGCUCGCACUCUGCAAUGGUGCAGCAGAAUGUCUUAGUUCAUCACACUUCCCUCUGCAUCCCUUUCUGUUCUCCUUGUCCUCACCCAGAAGCCUGUUCAAGGUCAUUCACGCUGAGAUGAUACGAGACGAUGAUCUUUGAAAGCGGUGAGCAAACCCUUGGCUUAGCAGUCCUUUAGUUUAACAGCGGUAAAACAGAACUUAAGUGCCCAUGAGAAGCUCCAGUGUCAAACAGGCUGUUUUAGGGGCGACUGCUGGGAGGAGCCCCCAUAGAGCCUCAAAUGACAAAUGGGUUUGAUUUGCAUUUGCUUUCUGGGUCAGUACACAGAUGGCUUCCUCCUUCUCCACUCUGCCCACUGUAUCCUUACUUGGCACAGCUGUGUCCUGUAGCCCAGUGACAGGAUGUAGGGGCACAAGAGGGUUUGGACACUCAGGAACAACUCUCUGAAAAGUAUGACCUCGGGACGAGAAUUGCUGGUGCAUUUUCAAGGUAGGGCAGCAAAUAAAAUACGGAGUUGGAAACAGAGAGGUCUCCAGAAAGGGCUGUGGGUUUCUAGGUGUCACCUGAAAACAGAGGUGGCCAGAGGAAGCAUCCAGGGUCCAGACUCCUAGAAUAAUUCUCACCAGGUAGGACUAGGAUGAGUUCCCAAACUCUGAUAUGAUGGAAGGGGCGUGCGCAUGUAUGGGGCAGACUCCAUGUUGCGUGCAUACAUUACAAGCCUACUGUGCAAAGAGCACUGGGAAAGGCCGUAGAGCAGGCAAGGUUACUAGACACUGAUGUUGGGCAUAUUUUGGCAAAAAAUUAAAAACAAAAAGAUGGUCCUGUUCUUCAAGGUCCUUGUGGAUUAGCUGAGUCUUGGAACAGAGGUAGAUCCAGCAAAGAGCUGCAAGUGUUGUCUACAGAAUGCCUUGUGGGCAACAAGACUCUACAGCACUGGCCAAAACGCCAGAAUGGCCAGCAUAGGUACUGUCCAAGAAAGAGUUCAGCAACUUCCCAGGUUCUGCAGGUAGGAAAGCAGACCCUAGUGGAGGGGUCCCUCAGCACUUCUAAAGCAAGAGUGAACACAGCUCGGAGGUCAUCCCACCCCAGUUUCCCUAGGAAGGAAAGGAAAAGGCCAUGGACAUGACACCCAUCUUCUGUGUUAGAGGAGGAAAUCCUGUUGCGGAAUUUACAGAGCAAUUACCCUGCAAAGCCACAGAAAAACAGAUGACCUGACAACCUAGAAAUCAUGUAAUUUAUCCAAUUAAACAUUUUUACACCACUGUAACCAUGCAGGUUCACGUAUUAGUAACCCGGAAGGUCUCCGUUCUAGACACUUGGAAUUUUUCAGCUUUCUGCUCAAAUGCAUCUGUCUGUCUGUAAUUAUAUCAUCAUCUGAGGCACGGUUGUGUAGGGUUUCAUUUAACUCUGCAUUUUUCGUUCUGUGGCCCAUAUGCCGCCCAGGGCGUGAGCAAGGUGUUUGGAAGCACACUGCCUUCAGUGAAGCCUUCUUUUACUCUUUCAUUGUGUUACUCUCACUCUGGAAAGCCCUGUGCAAGUCCUCUUGGCCAUGAAGACUUCCUCAGACACAGGACACAGUGGCUUCAUGUUGCAUACCUCGCCAUGGCUGUGUAUUACUUCAGCUUUCAUCUAGUAGUGUGGUGGUUUGAAUAUGCUUGACCCCUGGGAAGUGGCACUAUCGGAAGGUGUGGCCUUGUUGGAAGAAGUACGUCACUACGUAGGUGGGCUUUGAGGCUAGCGCUCAAGCUCCGCCCUGUGCAGAAGAGAGAGUCUCCCUCUGCCUGCCUUCGGAACAAGAUGUCAGUCUAUCAGCUCCUUCUCCAGCACCGUGUCUGUCUGGAUGCCGCCAUGCUUCCCACCGUGGUGAUAAUCGAGUGAACCCCUGGAACUGUAAGCCAGCCCCAACUAAAUGUUGUCCUUU
rnacentral:sRNA from 1 species